rnacentral:rRNA from 1 species
UACGGGGGGGCAAGCGUUGUUCGGAAUUACUGGGUGUAAAGGGCGCGUAGGCGGCCCGCUAAGUCGAACGUGAAAUCCCCGAGCUCAACUCGGGAACUGCGUCCGAUACUGGCGGGCUUGAAUCCGGAGAGGGAUGCGGAAUUCCGAGGUGUAGCGGUGAAAUGCGUAGAUAUCUGGAGGAACACCGGUGGCGAAGGCGGCAUCCUGGACCGGCAUUGACGCUGAGGCGCGAAAGCUA